rnacentral:rRNA from 1 species
AUUGAACGCUGGCGGCAGGCGUAACACAUGCAAGUCGAGCGGGGUGAUGGUGCUUGCACUAUCACUUAGCGGCGGACGGGUGAGUAAUGCUUAGGAAUCUGCCUAUUAGUGGGGGACAACAUCUCGAAAGGGAUGCUAAUACCGCAUACGUCCUACGGGAGAAAGCAGGGGAUCACUUGUGACCUUGCGCUAAUAGAUGAGCCUCAGUCGGAUUAGCUAGUUGGUGGGGUAAAGGCCUACAAAGGCGACGAUCUGUAGCGGGUCUGAGAGGAUGAUCCGCCACACUGGGACUGAGACACGGCCCAGACUCCUACGGGAGGCAGCAGUGGGGAAUAUUGGACAAUGGGGGGAACCCUGAUCCAGCCAUGCCGCGUGUGUGAAGAAGGCCUUAUGGUUGUAAAGCACUUUAAGCGAGGAGGAGGCUCUUUUGGUUAAUACCCAGAAUGAGUGGACGUUACUCGCAGAAUAAGCACCGGCUAACUCUGUGCCAGCAGCCGCCGUAA